rnacentral:piRNA from 1 species
UGGAGAAUGUUUUCUCUUUUUGUUUCCAGC